CCUUUGAUAGCUCAGCUGGCAGAGCGGAGGACUGUAGAUCCUUAGGUCGCUGGUUCAACUCCGGCUCGAAGGA